rnacentral:rRNA from 1 species
GACGAACGCUGGCGGCGUGCUUAACACAUGCAAGUCGAACGGAAAGGCCCUGCUUUUGUGGGGUGCUCGAGUGGCGAACGGGUGAGUAACACGUGAGUAACCUGCCCUUGUCUUUGGGAUAACUUCAGGAAACUGGGGCUAAUACCGGAUAGGAGCUCCUGCUGCACGGUGGGGGUUGGAAAGUUUCGGCUGUUGGGGAUGGACUCGCGGCUUAUCAGCUUGUUGGUGGGGUAGUGGCUUACCAAGGCUUUGACGGGUAGCCGGCCUGAGAGGGUGACCGGCCACAUUGGGACUGAGAUACGGCCCAGACUCCUACGGGAGGCAGCAGUGGGGAAUAUUGCACAAUGGGCGGAAGCCUGAUGCAGCAACGCCGCGUGCGGGAUGACGGCCUUCGGGUUGUAAACCGCUUUCGCCUGUGACGAAGCGUGAGUGACGGUAAUGGGUAAAGAAGCACCGGCUAACUACGUG